rnacentral:rRNA from 1 species
UGAAUACGAGAUGCUACGGCAUCGAAGCAGUCUAUGUCAUACUUCCAAGAAAAGCUUGCACUGUCAUAAACAAAUAAUGCCUGUACCAUAACCGACACAGGUGGGUAGGUAGAGUAUACUAAGGGGCGCGAGAUAACUCUCUCUAAGGAACUCGGCAAAAUGACUCAGUAACUUCGGGAGAAGGAGUGCCUUAUUUUAUAAGGUUGCAAUAACAAGAUCCAAGCAACUGUUUACCAAAAACACAGGUCUCCGCUAAGUCGUAAGACGAUGUAUGGGGGCUGACGCCUGCCCAGUGCCAGAAGGUUAAAGAAGUUGGUUAGCAUUAGCGAAGCUGAUAACUGAAGCCCUGGUGAACGGCGGCCGUAACAAUAACGGUCCUAAGGUAGCGAAAUUCCUUGUCGGGUAAGUUCCGACCCGCACGAAAGGCGUAAUGAUUUGGAUACUGUCUCGGAGAGGGGCUCGGUGAAAUAGACUUGUCUGUGAAGAUGCGGACUACCUGCACCAGGACAGAAAGACCCUAUGAAGCUUUACUGUAACUUGAGAUUGAAAUUGGACUUUAUUUGCGCAGUAUAGGUGGGAGACGUUGAAAAUAUUCUUGCGGGAAUAUUGGAGUCAUCAGUGAGAUACCACUCUUAUAAUGUUAGAUUUCUAACUUUGUAUCAUUAUCUGGUCAAAGAACAGUCUCAGGCGGGCAGUUUGACUGGGGCGGUCGCCUCCCAAACGGUAACGGAGGCGCACAAAGGUUUCCUCUGAACGUGUAGAAAUCGUAUCUAGAGUGUAAAGGCAUAAGGAAGCUUGACUGUGAGACCUACAAGUCGAGCAGGGACGAAAGUCGGUCUUAGUGAUCUGACGGUGCUGAGUGGAAAGGCCGUCACUCAACGGAUAAAAGUUACUCUAGGAUAACAGGCUGAUCUCCCCCAAGAGUUCACAUCGACGGGGAGGUUUGGCACCUCGAUGUCGGCUCAUCGCAUCCUGGGGCGGUAGUACGUCCCAAGGGUUGGGCUGUUCGCCCAUGAAAGCGGUACGCGAGCUGGGUUCAGAACGUCGUGAGACAGUUCGGUCCAUAUCCGGUGUAGGCGUUAGAAUAUUGAGAGGAGCCUUCUUUAGUACGAGAGGACCGAGAAGGACAUACCUCUGGUGUACCAGUUAUCGUGCCAACGGUAAACGCUGGGUAGCUAUGUAUGGAGAGGAUAACCGCUGAAAGCAUCUAAGUGGGAAGCCCACCUCAAGAUAAG